UUCUUACCAAAAAAAUUGUAAGUAACGCCUGCUCAAUGAUUUAUUAAAUAGCCGCGGAAAUUUAACCGUGCUAAGGUAGCAUAAUCAUUAGCCUCUUAAUUAGAGGCUUGUAUGAAGGACGAAACAAUUCAAUUUCUUUAUUUAUUUAUAAUUUUGAAUUUUAAUUAAAGAUAAAAAUGUCUUUAUAUAUUAAUUAGACGACAAGACCCUAUUGAACUUUACUUUUGUUUAGCUGGGGCAGCUAAAAAAACAUAAUCUUUUUUCAUAACAUAAAAUAAAAGACCCAAUAUAAUUGAUUGUUUGAACAAGUUACCAUAGGGAUAACAGCGUAAUAUCUUUUUAAAGUUCUUAUUAAAAAAGAAGAUUGCGACCUCGAUGUUGAAUUAGUGUAACUUAAUUAAUGCAGAAAUUUCAAAAGUGGGUCUGUUCGACCCUUAAAACACUACAU
rnacentral:rRNA from 1 species